rnacentral:rRNA from 1 species
AGAGUUUGAUCCUGGCUCAGGACGAACGCUGGCGGUGCGCCUUAUGCAUGCAAGUCGAGUGAAGCUUUUCAGUAGUUUACUACAGAAAAUGACUGAGCGGCGAACGGGUGAGUAACGCGUGAGCAAUCUACCUUAGUUACAGGGAUAGCCCGAGGAAACUCGGAUUAAUACCUGAUAUUCUUUUUAUCUCGCAUGAGAUUUUAAGGAAAGGUCAGCCGAACUAAGAUGAGCUCGCGUUCUAUCAGCUAGUUGGUGAGGUAAUAGCUCACCAAGGCUACGACGGAUAGCUGGUCUGAGAGGACGAUCAGCCACACCGGGACUGAGACACGGCCCAGACUCCUACGGGAGGCUGCAGCAGGGAAUAUUGCGCAAUGAGCGAAAGCUUGACGCAGCGACACCGCGUGUGGGAUGACGGAUCUAGGUUUGUAAACCACUUUCAGGAGGGAAGAAAAUGACGGUACCUCCACAAGAAGCCCCGGCCAACUACGUGCCAGCAGCCGCGGUAAUACGUAGGGGGCGAGCGUUGUCCGGAUUUAUUGGGCGUAAAGAGCUCGUAGGCGGUUCAACAAGUCGGUCGUGAAAGUUCAGGGCUCAACCCUGAAAUGUCGAUCGAUACUGUUGUGACUAGGAUACGGUAGAGGUGAGUGGAAUUCCGAGUGUAGCGGUGAAAUGCGUAGAUAUUCGGAGGAACACCAAUUGCGAAGGCAGCUCACUGGGCCGCUAUCGACGCUGAGGAGCGAAAGCUAGGGGAGCAAACAGGAUUAGAUACCCUGGUAGUCCUAGCUGUAAACGAUGGAUACUAGACGUAGGAACUGGAUUGACGGUUUCUGUGUCGUAGCUAACGCGUUAAGUAUCCCGCCUGGGGAGUACGGUCGCAAGACUAAAACUCAAAGGAAUUGACGG